rnacentral:rRNA from 1 species
UACAGAGGGGCAAGCGUUGUUCGGAAUUACUGGGCGUAAAGGGCGCGUAAGCGGCCUUCUAAGUCGAACGUGAAAUCCCCGGGCUCAACCCGGGAACUGCGUCCGAUACUGGAAGGCUUGAAUCCGGGAGAGGGAUGCGGAAUUCCAGGUGUAGCGGUGAAAUGCGUAGAUAUCUGGAGGAACACCGGUGGCGAAGGCGGCAGUCCUGGACCGGCAUUGACGCUGAGGCGCGAAAGCGUGGGGAGCGAACAGG